rnacentral:rRNA from 1 species
GGUUAAGCGACUAAGCGUACACGGUGGAUGCCCUGGCAGUCAGAGGCGAUGAAGGACGUGCUAAUCUGCGAUAAGCGCCGGUAAGGUGAUAUGAACCGUUAUAACCGGCGAUUUCCGAAUGGGGAAACCCAGUGUGAUUCGUCACACUAUCAUUAACUGAAUCCAUAGGUUAAUGAGGCGAACCGGGGGAACUGAAACAUCUAAGUACCCCGAGGAAAAGAAAUCAACCGAGAUUCCCCCAGUAGCGGCGAGCGAACGGGGAGGAGCCCAGAGCCUGAAUCAGCAUGUGUGUUAGUGGAAGCGUCUGGAAAGGCGCGCGAUACAGGGUGACAGCCCCGUACACAAAAGCGCAUGUGCUGUGAGCUCGAUGAGUAGGGCGGGACACGUGGUAUCCUGUCUGAAUAUGGGGGGACCAUCCUCCAAGGCUAAAUACUCCUGACUGACCGAUAGUGAACCAGUACCGUGAGGGAAAGGCGAAAAGAACCCCGGCGAGGGGAGUGAAAAAGAACCUGAAACCGUGUACGUACAAGCAGUGGGAGCACCCUUUGGGGUGUGACUGCGUACCUUUUGUAUAAUGGGUCAGCGACUUAUAUUCUGUAGCAAGGUUAACCGUAUAGGGGAGCCGCAGGGAAACCGAGUCUUAACCGGGCGUUAAGUUGCAGGGUAUAGACCCGAAACCCGGUGAUCUAGCCAUGGGCAGGUUGAAGGUUGGGUAACACUAACUGGAGGACCGAACCGACUAAUGUUGAAAAAUUAGCGGAUGACCUGUGGCUGGGGGUGAAAGGCCAAUCAAACCGGGAGAUAGCUGGUUCUCCCCGAAAGCUAUUUAGGUAGCGCCUCGUGAAUUCAUCUCCGGGGGUAGAGCACUGUUUCGGCUAGGGGGCCAUCCCGGCUUACCAACCCGAUGCAAACUGCGAAUACCGGAGAAUGUUAUCACGGGAGACACACGGCGGGUGCUAACGUCCGUCGUGAAGAGGGAAACAACCCAGACCGCCAGCUAAGGUCCCAAAGUCAUGGUUAAGUGGGAAACGAUGUGGGAAGGCCCAGACAGCCAGGAUGUUGGCUUAGAAGCAGCCAUCAUUUAAAGAAAGCGUAAUAGCUCACUGGUCGAGUCGGCCUGCGCGGAAGAUGUAACGGGGCUAAACCAUGCACCGAAGCUGCGGCAGCGACGCUUAUGCGUUGUUGGGUAGGGGAGCGUUCUGUAAGCCUGCGAAGGUGGCCUGUGAGGGUUGCUGGAGGUAUCAGAAGUGCGAAUGCUGACAUAAGUAACGAUAAAGCGGGUGAAAAGCCCGCUCGCCGGAAGACCAAGGGUUCCUGUCCAACGUUAAUCGGGGCAGGGUGAGUCGACCCCUAAGGCGAGGCCGAAAGGCGUAGUCGAUGGGAAACGGGUUAAUAUUCCCGUACUUGGUGUUACUGCGAAGGGGGGACGGAGAAGGCUAUGUUGGCCGGGCGACGGUUGUCCCGGUUUAAGCGUGUAGGUGUGUGUUCCAGGUAAAUCCGGUUCACUUUAACACUGAGGCGUGACGACGAGGCACUACGGUGCUGAAGCAACAAAUGCCCUGCUUCCAGGAAAAGCCUCUAAGCAUCAGGUAACAUCAAAUCGUACCCCAAACCGACACAGGUGGUCAGGUAGAGAAUACCAAGGCGCUUGAGAGAACUCGGGUGAAGGAACUAGGCAAAAUGGUGCCGUAACUUCGGGAGAAGGCACGCUGACACGUAGGUGAAGUGAUUUACUCACGGAGCUGAAGUCAGUCGAAGAUACCAGCUGGCUGCAACUGUUUAUUAAAAACACAGCACUGUGCAAACACGAAAGUGGACGUAUACGGUGUGACGCCUGCCCGGUGCCGGAAGGUUAAUUGAUGGGGUCAGCGCAAGCGAAGCUCCUGAUCGAAGCCCCGGUAAACGGCGGCCGUAACUAUAACGGUCCUAAGGUAGCGAAAUUCCUUGUCGGGUAAGUUCCGACCUGCACGAAUGGCGUAAUGAUGGCCAGGCUGUCUCCACCCGAGACUCAGUGAAAUUGAACUCGCUGUGAAGAUGCAGUGUACCCGCGGCAAGACGGAAAGACCCCGUGAACCUUUACUAUAGCUUGACACUGAACAUUGAGCCUUGAUGUGUAGGAUAGGUGGGAGGCUUUGAAGUGUGGACGCCAGUCUGCAUGGAGCCGACCUUGAAAUACCACCCUUUAAUGUUUGAUGUUCUAACGUGGACCCGUAAUCCGGGUUGCGGACAGUGUCUGGUGGGUAGUUUGACUGGGGCGGUCUCCUCCUAAAGAGUAACGGAGGAGCACGAAGGUUGGCUAAUCCUGGUCGGACAUCAGGAGGUUAGUGCAAUGGCAUAAGCCAGCUUGACUGCGAGCGUGACGGCGCGAGCAGGUGCGAAAGCAGGUCAUAGUGAUCCGGUGGUUCUGAAUGGAAGGGCCAUCGCUCAACGGAUAAAAGGUACUCCGGGGAUAACAGGCUGAUACCGCCCAAGAGUUCAUAUCGACGGCGGUGUUUGGCACCUCGAUGUCGGCUCAUCACAUCCUGGGGCUGAAGUAGGUCCCAAGGGUAUGGCUGUUCGCCAUUUAAAGUGGUACGCGAGCUGGGUUUAGAACGUCGUGAGACAGUUCGGUCCCUAUCUGCCGUGGGCGCUGGAGAACUGAGGGGGGCUGCUCCUAGUACGAGAGGACCGGAGUGGACGCAUCACUGGUGUUCGGGUUGUCAUGCCAAUGGCACUGCCCGGUAGCUAAAUGCGGAAGAGAUAAGUGCUGAAAGCAUCUAAGCACGAAACUUGCCCCGAGAUGAGUUCUCCCUGAGACUUAGAGUCUCCUGAAGGAACGUUGAAGACGACGACGUUGAUAGGCCGGGUGUGUAAGCGCAGCGAUGCGUUGAGCUAACCGGUACUAAUGAACCGUGAGGCUUAACCUU